rnacentral:rRNA from 1 species
UUAGACUUAGCGGCGGACGGGUGAGUAACGCGUGGGUAACCUGCCUUACACUGGGGGAUAACAGUUAGAAAUGACUGCUAAUACCGCAUAAGCGCACAGGGCCGCAUGGUCUGGUGUGAAAAACUCCGGUGGUGUAAGAUGGACCCGCGUCUGAUUAGGUAGUUGGUGGGGUAACGGCCCACCAAGCCGACGAUCAGUAGCCGACCUGAGAGGGUGACCGGCCACAUUGGGACUGAGACACGGCCCAAACUCCUACGGGAGGCAGCAUG